UGGGGAAUAUUGCACAAUGGGGGAGACCCUGAUGCAGCAACGCUGCGUGAGUGAUGACGGCCUUCGGGUUGUAAAGCUCUGUCUUCAGGGACGAUAAUGACGGUACCUGGGGAGGAAGCCACGGCUAACUACGUGCCAGCAGCCGCGGUAAUACGUAGGUGGCAAGCGUUGUCCGGAUUUACUGGGCGUAAAGGGAGCGUAGGCGGACUUUUAAGUGAGAUGUGAAAUACCCGGGCUCAACCUGGGUGCUGCAUUUCAAACUGGAAGUCUAGAGUGCAGGAGAGGAGAGUGGAAUUCCUAGUGUAGCGGUGAAAUGCGUAGAGAUUAGGAAGAACACCAGUGGCGAAGGCGACUCUCUGGACUGUAACUGACGCUGAGGCUCGAAAGCGUGGGGAGCAAACAG
rnacentral:rRNA from 1 species